rnacentral:rRNA from 1 species
AGAGUUUGAUCCUGGCUCAGGAUGAACGCUGGCGGCGUGCUUAACACAUGCAAGUCGAACGAAGCACUUUAUUUGAUUUCCUUCGGGACUGAUUAUUUUGUGACUGAGUGGCGGACGGGUGAGUAACGCGUGGGUAACCUGCCUUGUACAGGGGGAUAACAGUUGGAAACGGCUGCUAAUACCGCAUAAGCGCACAGCAUCGCAUGAUGCAGUGUGAAAAACUCCGGUGGUAUAAGAUGGACCCGCGUUGGAUUAGCUAGUUGGUGAGGUAACGGCCCACCAAGGCGACGAUCCAUAGCCGACCUGAGAGGGUGACCGGCCACAUUGGGACUGAGACACGGCCCAAACUCCUACGGGAGGCAGCAGUGGGGAAUAUUGCACAAUGGGCGAAAGCCUGAUGCAGCGACGCCGCGUGAGCGAAGAAGUAUUUCGGUAUGUAAAGCUCUAUCAGCAGGGAAGAUAAUGACGGUACCUGACUAAGAAGCCCCGGCUAACUACGUGCCAGCAGCCGCGGUAAUACGUAGGGGGCAAGCGUUAUCCGGAUUUACUGGGUGUAAAGGGAGCGUAGACGGCACGGCAAGCCAGAUGUGAAAGCCCGGGGCUCAACCCCGGGACUGCAUUUGGAACUGCUGAGCUAGAGUGUCGGAGAGGCAAGUGGAAUUCCUAGUGUAGCGGUGAAAUGCGUAGAUAUUAGGAGGAACACCAGUGGCGAAGGCGGCUUACUGGACGAUAACUGACGCUGAGGCUCGAAAGCGUGGGGAGCAAACAGGAUUAGAUACCCUGGUAGUCCACACUGUAAACGAUGAUAACUAGGUGUGGGGGGUCUGACCCCUUCCGUGCCGCAGUUAACACAAUAAGUAAUCCACCUGGGGAGUACGGCCGCAAGGUUGAAACUCAAAGGAAUUGACGGGGGCCCGCACAAGCAGUGGAGUAUGUGGUUUAAUUCGAAGCAACGCGAAGAACCUUACCAGGUCUUGACAUCGAGUGACGUACCUAGAGAUAGGUAUUUUCUUCGGAACACAAAGACAGGUGGUGCAUGGUUGUCGUCAGCUCGUGUCGUGAGAUGUUGGGUUAAGUGCCAUAACGAGCGCAACCCUUGUUGUCAGUUACUAACAGGAUUUGCUGAGGACUCUGACAAGACUGCCAUCGUAAGAUGUGAGGAAGGUGGGGAUGACGUCAAAUCAGCACGGCCCUUACGUCCGGGGCUACACACGUGUUACAAUGGGGGGUACAGAGGGCCGCUACCACGCGAGUGGAUGCCAAUCCCAAAAACCUCUCUCAGUUCGGACUGGAGUCUGCAACCCGACUCCACGAAGCUGGAUUCGCUAGUAAUCGCGCAUCAGCCACGGCGCGGUGAAUACGUUCCCGGGCCUUGUACACACCGCCCGUCA